UACGGAGGGUGCGAGCGUUAAUCGGAAUUACUGGGCGUAAAGGGCGCGUAGGCGGCUGAUCAAGUCAGGUGUGAAAGCCCACGGCUUAACCGUGUGAAGUGCAUCUGAAACUGGUCGGCUUGAGUAUCGGAGAGGAAAGUGGAAUUCCCGGUGUAGAGGUGAAAUUCGUAGAUAUCGGGAGGAAUACCAGUGGCGAAGGCGACCUUCUGGCUGGAUACUGACGCUGAGGCGCGAAAGCGUGGGGAGCAAACAGGAUUAGAUACCCCUGUAGU
rnacentral:rRNA from 1 species